UCCAGAGAAAGAGGAUUUAGGCCAACACCCUCCUGAAGAGUGCAGCUUUGAGUCAGAGCCCAGGAGUGGAGACUGGAUUGGAGAUCCCAUCCACCUGUCCAUGCCUCCGCCUGCCAUGCUGAUGAGGCUAUGGAUCCAGUAGUGAGACAGUGUGAUUACACUUAGAAGGAGGCCACAACUCUGACUGCUCUGAGCCACCAGAGAAGCUUUCCUGACAGAUGUGUCGGAUUGACCAAAAGACAAGAGGCUUUGAGGAGAUUAUGCUGUCUAGUUCCAUGCUUGGUCCCUGAGUCCCCCAAGGAAUAGAAGAUCAGAAAGUCUCACUGGGAGCGUCUGGAAAGGGCCAGAGUGAGGCAGAGUCUCACUGAGUUGCUUAGCACUUU